rnacentral:tRNA from 1 species
GCUUUCGUGGUGUAACGGUAACACACUCGGCACGUAUUCGAGAGGUCCAGGUUCGAAUCCCGGAGAAGGCG